UCCACGGAAUAAAGUAAAGCCGAGCCCCGGCGCUGCCGCCGCGCUGCGGGGAAGGGGCGGCCGCGGGUUGCCCGAAAAGCGGUCGCGGAGCGGGGUCUCACAGCGGAGCCGCUCCGGGCACCUGCGCUCGCCGCGGCCGCCCCGUGUCCCGCCGGCCGCCCGAGCCGUGCCCCGGCCGCCCGCGGAGCCGCGCCGAGCCCGGCCGGGCUGCGCCGAGCCGCGCCGAGCGGAGCGCGCCCGAGCCCGGCGCUCCGGGAGCGGCCGCUCGCACAGCCCGGCCCCGGCGCGGCGCGGGGGCUCCGCCGCUCCGCCCGACCGCUGCCGGCUCCCGCUCGCCCCGGAGCGAGGGCACCGCGGCUCCGCUCCAGACUCCUCCGAAGCCCGGCUCGGCGCUCCGCAGAGCGUGACAGCCGCGCCUCUCGCACGGCAUCGCCGCGGCGUGGCUCGGCUCAACCCCUUUAAGUUUAUUUCGGGGUUUUGCGGGUUCGGGGGUUUCGUGAGCGCACGUAGCCCGACACCGUAACACGACCUGCGUUCUGUACCACGAGCAGGUAACAGAGCGAAGCACGGGGACGUGUUUAUUUCCCGCUGAAUGGAGCUAGCGGCCAGCGGAGCGGGGACUCGAGUCCGUCUCCCGGUGAAAAUGGCCAAAAGACACUCGAACAAGCGAAGGGACGAAGAGAUAAAAUAGAAAACACGUUAACACAGACAGAUAAAUGCCCGGCCGGGCCAUUCCUCCUCUGCCACACACGCGUCUGUGAGCGCUCACAUCCCAGCCGGUCACCAAGCACGGCCGCGGGGACGCAGACCUGGGCACAACUCUGUAAGGGAUUAAUUGCCCCUCACGUCCUCACACACACUUUUUCAUGUUGCCACAUGCCCACACACUUCUGCCGCAGAAAUAAUACAUGUGGCUAAAGCCGCAGGUGCGGACAUGGUUGGAAAGUUGUAAAAAGCACCUCGACUUGAGAGUGUCCUGCAGGGAAACCUGGUGUGUUCAGAGCCCACGGGCGAAGAGGUUUUUGCCACUCAAUUUCAAAGACAAGGCUGCAGCGUUCUCAUUGAUCCUCACUGAGCAAAAAAUAACCUUUACCCGAAACAGUGACCAGGAGGGACUGGGAAGGCAGAAAGUGGGGAAGGAAUCUUUCCUGGUUAAAAUGUGGGGAACUGCCUUAUGAUUUCCAAACAAGCCAGAGCUGAGGAGGUGACCUUUCGGGGAGGGAAGGAGAAGGUGGGGGUUCAAAAUGCAGAAUAGCCACAGAUUGUUGCUGAUGUUGGAUUUCCUGAGGAAAAAAAUAAAAGCCAAAACCCAAACCACAACCCAACACCAACCUUUCCUGUCUCGAAUCUGACAAAGUAAACAGGAUUAAUUCACCAUAUGAAAAAACAUAAACGCCGUCCUAACAAAUGCAGAAAUCAGAAGAGAAAGCGGUUUUAACAGGACGCACAAUAUUAAUAGUUUGAACGUAUGAUCGUAAAAAUGAAAAACCAUUGAUAUACGCUUAAAAGCCGCCGUAUACGCUGAUUGCUCAAGCAUUAAUGAAGAAUGCCCCAGAUUAACUAUUUGCUCUUCGAGGGAUGCAGCGAUAUAACUAUCUAUUAGCACCAUUAGAUGCUUUGCUAUUUAUUUGAAAACACCCCUGCGAGUGGGUUGAGACAGAAGAGAUGAAUGUAAAAAUGAACUGCAGCUAAUUUCGCUAAAUAAUCCUCGAAACCUGAGCGCUUCGCAAGGAAGGGGGAGAUUCUCCACUGUCCUUCUCCGAGGCUAAUGACAAUAGAAAUGCUCUGGUUUAAAAGUGAGACCGUGUUGGCUUUCCAAAUAAACAAACGCAUCCCUCCUGCCAUUUUACUGCAGAUGUAAAUUUAUUUUAAUGAGAGGGAGUGGAAGGAUUUAUUUUGCUAAAAUUGAGUUGGGGAUAGAGCCGGUGUAAAUCUUUAGGUUUAAAAAAGAGAGGAGGAAGGAGGGGGAAGCUGCUUUCCUGGCAGAAAGCUGCCUAACAGUCCUCUAAUUCUUUCUAGAUUAAAUCGCAAUAUGAAUACAGCAUCGAACAAAUACCGAGUUUCGCUCUGAACUCAGUGGAAAGCAGUUACGUCUAACAGAAUUCAAUGAAUUCCUCUUCUCCCUCAAUGUAGUAUGUGUGUGUUUUUCUCUUCCACCACACUGAAGUUCCAUGAAUAGGGAAAGUGGCUCCUAUUGUGUGCCUCUGAACUUCCAAGUCAAUGCAAUUUUUAACCACUGGCUUGUGGUACUUUGAAAAUCACCAGGGGCUGUCAGAGUUGGGUCCUCUGAAAAAUUUACAGUGCUAAAUCAGAGCAUAUGCUGUGAGAGAGGAAAAAAAAUUGCUUAAGAUUGGAGCAAGUACAGUAUCUGGCUGCCCCCUAGUGUAAGUCUCUUAUCUGCCUAAAAUUCAACUUUAAAAGAAAAGGAUCUCUUAAAGGGAAACGACUUUUGGCUCACGUAUGCAUACGAGAAUGAAACUUCUGUACAUUUUAAUCUGAUUAAUUCCUAAGGAUUUAAAAUUAAUUGGCUUGGGCACUCCUAGACCGGACUAUAAGAUUUCUGCAUCAGGGUUUCUGCGAGAGCUGUGCCGAAUAGGUAUUUUUAAGGGAUAGUGGUAAGGGAUGGGGGGGGGAGAUCCUGUUUUGUGAUUUUUUUUUUUUAACGAGGAUCCGAGCCUCGCUUGCUGUUGUCAGAGCAAAACACUUCUGCUGCUUAAAGUCAGAUCUACGUCUUUUGCAAUAAUACUUAAAAAAAAAAAAAAAAGGAUAAAUAAUUGCCUUAAAGCCUCAGCCGAACUGCCAACCACACCUUCGGAUGAGCACAGAGCGACGCGAUCCCGGUCAGUUUAAUACCUAUCACUUAAGUUAAGAGCCUCGUCGUGCCCUCCCACCCUCCGGAGCAGGUCGGUCCGCGCUCCGCCCGAGCAGCGCCGGCUCCGGGCAGCGCCCGGCCGCUGCUCCCGGGGAAAUGACUCGGAGGCGCUUCGCCUCGGACCUGGAAGCCGGGUCCGGUCCUUGGGUUUGUUCGCUUGUUUGUUUGUUUGCUGCUUUGCUUUAUUUAGCUAAAGGACGUGCUAACUGAUGGUGCUGCAAUUACACAUACUUGGGUCUGCCCCCCUCCCCUCUUCCCCUCCUUAGAGCAACCCACGUAACCUUAGAAACGAUCGUUUAAGACGCACGUUAGCUAACAUUUGCUUUUUUGGAUUUUUUGUUUUCCUUAAAAGAGAAACACAAGAAUCACAACACAUUGCCCGAAAAAAGUGUCAAAGAAGAAGAAAAAAAACUAUAAGUAAACAUACCAAAACCAUAUUUGCCUUGUUCAAGGUCCCAAAUCGCUUGCAUCUUCCUUUUUCUACCUCUCCUUUAGUUUGGCAGGUGAAACAAACAAAUAAAAAAAAAAAAUCAGACCGCUGUUUGCCCCCCAGAAAGAUGUGCGUUGGGUAAUUAAAGAGAAGUCUCCUUCUUGGUGUUUAUCUAAGCGAUUGUGCAAACUGAUUAAAAAAAAAAAAAAAGAGAGAGAGAAAAAAAAAGUAAAGUUACAGCCUUCAGGGGGGGAAAAAAAGGAAGCAAGGUGAAGGGAAUAGAUUUCCCACAACCUAAAGGGAAGUGCUUUCGAUGUAUUAUUAGCGAUCAGCCUUGGGAGAGAGAGGAAAAAAAAAACACCCUGAACACACUCUAACUUUACACAGACAAGAUUUCAGGGGGGGCUUUGUACACAGCUGCUUAGGAAUGUGCGCCUUGCCUUUAAGAAAAAAUCCCCAAGCCCAAGGUAGGAGAUGUCUUUGAGUGAUCCUUGUCUCAUUUCAUUCCUUAGAAGGAAGAGCGUCUCGCUACACCUUGUUUGGAGCUGGAAAGGCGAGACUUUAAAAAAAAAAAAAAAAGGGGGAAAAAUAUUCACAACCCACCCUUCCAAUUGGGGAGAAAAAAAAAUAAGAGAGGGAAAUCUCCUAAGUUAAUGACUAUGGGGGUAGGAUGGAUGCGACGGAUUUCAGCCCCCCCUCCCCCCCUUUCCCACCUCCCCCCUCCCCGGCAGGAAAAAAAAAAAAAAACGAAAAGGAAAAAAAAAGCCAACCGCAAACAACUACAGGCUGGACUAUCAACACAUGCACCGAAGGGGAAAAAAUAUAUAGUGUCCUGUGUAGGGUCGGCAGGGAACGCAAGCACACGCUAAAGCAAGUUGGGAAAGAAUCCGAGCUAAUCAGCAAUCUCUUUCUCUCUCUCUCCUUCUCUCCCUCUCCCCCUCUCUCUCUCUCUCUCACUGCCCCUGAGAUCCCAGCUCGAAAGAGGUACUCCACAUUUUUUCAUUACCAAAAAUCCGUUGCAAUAAUCAUUUGUUGCUAAUUGAAACCCUUGGAGACAUUUUUCCCCACCCCCUUCACAAACAUGGCAACUUUUAGUCAUGGGAAGCACGUUUAGUUUUAUUUUAUUAAAAAAAAAAAUACGGUUAGGAAAAGGCUGAAUCUUUCACCCACGAGAAAUAUCAGCGAGUCAGCCCCCUUCCCCGGGAUGGGAGGGGGGAGUGGGGGGAACGGGACCCCGGUACAGUGAGGGCUUGGGAAAAUUUGGAAUACAUUAUACCGCCUUUGGCAGGAGAAUACUCUCCAACUAAUGGAUUCCUGCUCCUUUUUGUGUGUGUGUGUGUAUCAGUGUGGGGGGUUUCUGGAAAGAGGGGUGGUGGUCGUGGUGGUGGGGAGCCGAGCUUUUAUUUUAAGAAACUGUUAGGGUAGGGAGUGUGUCAUACUUGACAAAUGGAACAAACGCUCUUCCAUUUCUUGCUUGUCCUUGCCUUAAAACAGGAAUUAAGUUAACCACAGUGCUGCAUGUUAAUUGCAUGUUUACUGGGCUAAUGAAAAUUACAAAAGGGUUUUGCCACCUCGAUCGGUGAUGAAAAAGUAUGAAGGCGAUUGUCAUUGCAGCCUUCGGGGAGGGCCCGGGGGGUGGGGGGGAAGGACCGGGCACGAACAAUAUUGAUCAGAAGAAGGAUAAAUCUUUUAACUGCUUGUUAAUACCAUAAAUAUGGUCUACACAAGUUUCCACUCUUGUUAAGUCUAAUCAGUACAUGGACGAUGGAGACAUAGCCCACUUGAAUGAAUUUUUAUUAUUGCCAGAGGGGUACUUGCAUCUGUGGGCUCCCUCCCCUCCUCAAUUUGAGCACCCCCCCCGCCCCCCCUUCCAAAAUUCCCCCUUGCACAGGAGGAUCGUGAAGGUGUGCAGAAAGCACAGGAGACAAAUCCAAGCUUUUUGUCCUUUCUUCAUUUUUCCAAAAGCUCCUUUAUUUUGUAAAGCUGAACGGGUCAUGGCGGGGAAAGCCUAAAGGGGGGGACACCCCUGCCAGACCCCCCCUGGCCCCCCCUUUUAUUCUUGAGAUCUCUGGAUGAAAGGCUGACCCAGUAAUUCAGUUUGAUGAUAACCAUUUUCAUGCUUGAAAACAAUCUGCCAAAUUAAACCUAAAUGGAAAGAGCAGUGGGAAAGGUAGUGAGAGCAGGGCGUUUUGAAAUCCCCCCCACCUCUCCGAAAGGGAUUAUUUGGCCAAAGGAGGAGGGAAAGGCAAUUAAAUAGACUAAAGAUGAUUUAAAUCCUAACCAAAAAUAAUUCCAGGGAGAAGUUUGCCCCCUCCGGUGUUGCCCAGCCCUGGAUUUGAAAACUUUGGCCCAACUUGUGGCAAUAGCUACAACUUUGCUCCGCAGGGGUCAGAGGUGAGGGCUAUUUUAACCCUAAAAGCCUGCGAGUGACCAAGGUUGCGGCUGGGCUCGCAGCACUAAUAGCCAUAAUUACCUCCUCCCCUUCCAGGGACAUUCCUCGCAGCAGCAGUGUUAGAAGCCGAAUUGAAGAAAAUCCUGGAGUUGAACAUAUCUUCGGGGGUAAAUAACAGCAAUAUGAAGGAAUUUCAGAGCUCUCCCUUUCGCUUGGGGGGAUUGAAGCUUUUUUCCUUUUUUUUUCCCCCUCUUUUUUUUCCUUUUUUCCUCCUUCCCCCCCCCUCCCCCCCCGCCUUGCCAGCAUUCCCAAGGCGCUGGGUCUUUGUCUUAGAAGGAAUGGAGUGUCUGAAUGGUGUGAAAGGGACAGAGAGGGUUGCUUCAAAUCGAUUUUACUUGUCCUCUCUGUCUUUUCGGAUCAACGCCCUUCAAUGGACACAUAGGUGCUCUUUCAACCAAAAACUUGUGCAACAUUUUCUGCCUGUAUUGGUGCUAAAUACAAUAAAUGCUGGGCAGAUUUUUUUUUCUUUCUUUCCAAAGCAGAAAGCACCCUAAUUAAAUUGUUUUAUAUGGACAGUCAAGACAGACCAAUUAAGUAUGCAUUAGUAUAAAGAUAUAUUCGAGAGAUAAGCGCUCUAUAGGAGCCCUGUCUGGGCAAGGUGUGGAAAGUGUCCUCUCGAAGAGAGGCUGUGAGCAGGGUUUCAUAUGGAUUUUUCCCCUCCAUUGCCUCCUAUACUCGAGUAACGGGCUGAAUAAGUUAGAGAAAAGCCAUUAGUGAAAGUGGUUUCUAAACAAAGUUAACAGGUGGAUGUAGCUGGUUUUACAUUUGAAUAACAGUCGCACAUCUGUAAUACACAGCCCCGGAUUUGUGCAGCGCCUGUGCAGGCAAUGUCCAUUUGCAGAGACAAACGCCUUCGACCUAGAGCUGAGGUGCAAACGCACACGCACGGGGAUAAAAUAAAUAUCUGGGCACCUCUGUGGGCUGCAGGACACGAUGUGAGCGAGCACACAGAGACGAUGCAGAUAUCACUGUGUGGCCAUUGUGUGGAGGCACCCAGGCUGCCUCGGACAGGCACCCACAGCAGGCACUGCUGCCUCGGACACCUCAGCGGGCACACACACUCCUGGGGUAAUUGCAAGGGGAGGCAUUGGCUUUCCCAGGAGUGAAAUAGCAGAUCAGGAUAAAACACACACAAACACACGCGAACUUCUCUGGCUGCCUAUUUUAUCACUCUGGGAAAGCUCUCGUUAUGGUUAACCACAGGAAACGGGCUUUAAGCUCUUCUCCAUUCCCAUUAUUAUUAUUAUUAUUAUUUUCCUUCACUGAAGCUUUUCCAUGUCGUUCCAAAAAACCACCCCAAACAAAAAAAGACCCAGACAAACAAACAAAAAUCCCACAGAGCCCCCAGCAGCCCUGCCUCAGCCUGGUCCUGGGGCAGGCAGAGCCGCGGGAUGCGAUGAAGAGGAGGGCAGAGGCGGGCUGGGAGUUGCUGGGGCACCCUCCAUCCCUGGGCACAUCGUUGGCACCGGCUGAGGCUGAGCUGGGGGAGCCAGCCCUGUGCCCGAAGAUGCUGCAGGGUGGCUGCGAGCGGGGAGUCGCCCUUUCAGUGCCGUGACACUGCAGCGCAGAGAGCGGCCGGGGUUUUAUGGAGGGGUCGGGGAAGAGGGGAUCGAGGGGUUCAGGGAUGCAGGGCAGCGCUGCGGGGGCUGCCCGCUUGGAUUCCCAUUUUCCAGCAGCGCCCUGCGUGUGUCAGCCCAUCCCAGGGAUGUGGGAGACGGGGAUGAAUAAGACAUUCCUCGCUUAGGUGCUUUAAUGGCACGGUAAACAGGUUAGAAACAGACGUUUUUAGAGACUCAGUUUUUCUUUAUUGGUCACCUUCGAGGAUAAAUCAUAACAGACAGUAUGGGGGGCAAAGAAUUCAUCUAAAGGAGAUCUCAGCAAGUCACUACCCGGACAAUAGUCCACCUCCUGUUGGGUUGCGUAUUGAUCAGGAGAGGAGCUGAGGAUGUCGCCACACUAAAUAUUUACUGAUCACACACAAAUAGCCGCGACUUGAACGAUUUUCUCCUGUGAGGAGAGCAGAGAGAGAAGGGUAAAUCAUUUUAUUAGUGUGUAUAAAGCAAAGAGCACACUCUGGCUUGGAGUGUUUUAAAAUGUGUCUUCAGCUGGAUGAAAAGAGUUAGGGAAAUCGAUAUGGAGUGAUUAGACGAACCAGUCGUGUCAAAGAGAGAGGCUGUGAAUUUCAUGGAUUUGGUUAUACCGGGAGGGGGAAAAUAUACCGAGAGAUUAAAGGGAGGAACCCAUUGUAGCAGAGCCAAUGAAAAAAUAAUAUCUAAUCAGAGCCGGCAAAGGUAGGGACGGGAUAAGACCCACAUUUCUAAAGAAUCACAUCAGCUGGAGAGGGAUCAGGGACGCAGAUGAAAGAGGCAAACGGGGGGAGAGCUGGAGAGUAGGAGCCUAGAAAUGCUACAGAGCAAAUCCAGGAGAGGCAGAGAAAAGUCGCCUCUGUGGAGCAAAGCUGAGAUACCACGAAAAUGGGGACAAAAGGCUCAGGAGCGAGGGAGAGGGCUGGAGUGAUCGGGCGCCUGCCUUGGAGGUGAAGUUGAGGGGUGCCCAGCCCGUGUACCCACCAGGCAGAGAGGGCUCUGACAGCACAUCCAGCUCCCAUCCGAGGGGUUUAAAUCCUUCUCCUACAAGUUUGUCCUCCCCUCUCCUUCCCGCCCCCCUCUCUCCCCACAAGCAAAUGUGGUGAGUAAAAUGGAUUUUAGCGUUUAACCACCUCAUUUUAUCCACGUAAUGACAAGGCUCGUAAUAUGUAAUCUACAGAUUACUGCCAUUCGAGGGUGACCACAAGUGGCAUAGGAAAAAAUUUAAAAAAAUAAAAAAAAAUUCAGCAUUUCUGCAAAUGACAAAAUGGCUAAAACCAGCCCUUGCUUUAAGUAUUGAAGCUGGGGAGUUGCUGCUGCAGGAUUUUAUCGGUUGUAGGGAGCAAUUUAGCCGUGGCUCAGGUACAGCCCUGGGGUGUCUCGGCGGAUUAAAGAAAACUUUGCUGGAGACAAGCAAAUAUCUGAGUGCCAAAGGGCAGAAAGCUGGGACUAGGGCAGGGCUCUGCCAUGCGACAUUGAAAUACGUUCUGUGGGGAUGCUCGGGAUUAUGAUUAUUGUUUUUUUGCCUCGAAUCCGUGAUGUUUGGCCCGUGUUCACAUGCUACCUUCUCUCCGCGUAGUUUUCUUUAGCAGAAAAUAGGAUGCGACUGCAGAGAACUAAGUCAAAGCAGCGAGAGAAAGUUUGUACCGCACUUUAAAUGAUGCUGAUUGCUGGGAGGGAGGAAAGGCAUCUCAAGCUAGGAACCGAGGAGUAAAACUGAUGUGAAAACAGCUUUUCACUUCUCCUCCAAGUGCUAAUUUUGCUACUGUAAACAAACACUGAAGUUAGAAACAGCUGCAAAUAGCCUGCCGGGCACCCAGGGCUCAGGGACCGGAGGGGGUUGACUUUUGUUCAUCUCUCGGGCUGAAUUUUCCCCCAGUUUUGCUUUUUUUUAACCCCGAAAUCAGGGGCUGAUGCUGAUUUCAGUCGUGGAGAAGGGACAGAAAGUUAGGCACACUAAGAACAUUUCAUGCGAGCCUAUGGAGUGCAGGCAGCUCGGCUGGAUCUCUAAUGCAACAGGAAACCUCGGGACAGACUCAGCCUAAUUAACAGUUUUCCAUAGCUGAAGCGAUUUUUAAGAAUCCCAGUGGAUUAGCCCAAUAUGUUCAGGUGUGAGGCUACGAGGGCCUAUAACUCCUUUCACUAUAAUCUUAUAACCUCCUUACCUAAUUCCUUAGAUUGCAGAUAGGAAGAGUCUGACCCUGGAGGUCGUAAAGAGCUGGGUUUCAUUAACCCUUCCCUCCCCGGCGCCGCUCCAAGGUUAACUGCGCCGGGCUGUGUGCUCGGGGGAGCGAGGGAGGGCGGCCGGGAGAAAGGGAUUUGCAAGAGGGGUCGAUCCGCCGGGAGGGCAAAGCUUAAAAUGAUUUUUGCUCCCUUCAUUCCCUCCCUUCAGCCAAAGGAAAGAUGGAAAUGGGGAACUUUUCUGUUUCCUAUGCAUCCGGAGGUGUAUAAAUGUACGGAUGUUUGUGAGGCAAUUCAUUCCCUUCACAACAUUUCAUUAUUGUUUAUUAUUUUUAAUUUUUUUUUUGGUCCAAACGUGGAGGAAAUGAAACAUUCUAGAACCAUCAGCAAAAAGCAAAGCAAUCUCCAUCUUUAGGACCAGCACCAAUCUCUUGAGCUUCUUGUCCACAGCAGAGCUGUAAUCUUUAAAGAAAAAAAAAAUUCUAGAGAAGCUUCUCAGACUGUAUUUGCCUGGGAACACACCUGGUUUAUAUUUUAAUAGGUAGUUACAUUGUAUUGAUUCAGGGUACAUCAUUGAUGUUGAAAGUUAAUAACUCUCAAAUUAUAUCUAUCUGCCUACAUACAUAAUUGCAUACACAGUGUAACACUGGAGGAAUUUGCAUUUUGCAGCACAUUCUUUGUUCUUAAAUCUUUUAACACACUGAGUUGUUCCUUUGAAGAAAAUGUUAUUGAACCACAUGUUUAAGGAAAAGAUGCUUCUAAACUAUAUGUUUAAGCAAUGAAAUUGUUGAGUGAAAUACAGAUUUCUUUGUAUCUCACACAAACCUUGCCACACGCCAAUCUUAACCUACACAUCGAACUGCCUUUUUUUUCUUUCUUUCUUUUUUUUCCCCCUCCCAGUUAGAAGGCAGAAAUAUGUGAACUGCUGAGAGAGGUGGGUACUUUUUGGUAAGUAUGUUUAGAUAUGAUCUUCAGAUACAUUUAUUGUACUUUCAAAUUCUUGGGAUACUAAUUGAGCUAGCAAACAAUAUCCCAGCUGAAUGUCUCAGCUUCUUCCCUAUUUAACAGGCUUUAAUGUAGAAGUAUAUUGUAGCCAUCCUUCUACUAAACAAUGUAGCUGAGGAGUCAGCAAAAAAUAAAAAAAACAUGUUAAAACCAAAUUAUAAUUGCUGCCUUAUAUCUGACUCUUCUUCCUUUCUGCAGUCCUAAUGAACUCUUUAAAGUUUUAUUUAUUUAUUUUUUUACUUCUGAGUGACAGAUCAAAAAUAAUUAGCAGAAUCAGAAGCAGCCGGGAAGCUUGAAAUAAUGUGUCUAAAUAUUUCAUAUUGCUACUUAUAAUACCAGCCCUUCAGCUGUAAAAAGGAACCAUUCCCUAUUUAUUCUGUGGUGGUUUAUAAAUACAGAAGGAUAGAUUCUUUUUUUUUCCCAGGGCCUGCCUCAACGAUGCCAUAAAUAGAGAUUGAGCUAUCAGGAGGAAAAAAAUAAAAAAGAAUAAAAUAAAAGCAAAGCCCUGGAUAGGAAUAGAGACAGACAGAUAAAUGUAUAACUGCAUCUGAACAAUGUUACGUAGCACAUUCGGAGUUGGUAAAAAAAAAAUUAAAUCUAUCGCAUAUUUAUAACCUCAUAAUUAAAAUACAUUCUUAUCUCUCUCCUCUGAAAGGUUGCAGCUUUCUUGGAAGUAUUUUGAGUGCAUAUUUUAAACUCCAUGUCUCGAACUGAAUUAAGAUGAGCUGUUUUGCCCAAGAGUAAAACCUUUGUUUACAAUUUAAUAUUUAACUUUCAGCUGCCUACCCAUUGCCAUAUCAUUUUCUUUAGAUUUCACCUCCUUACAUUUGCAGGCUUUAUUUAAAAUGAUGUUAGUUUAUAUCAAAUCCUAAUUUCUUAUCGAAAGAAAUGAGUUGAUAUAAUCCAAAACAGUCCUCCUGGUCUGACGGAGGUAAAUUGGAUGAGAAUCUUUCACAUUCAAAGGGUUAAAGCUAAAGCAAAAACUUUAAAGCAAAGAGAUACCAGCAAACAGUGAAAAAUAGUACAUCUGCUCUCUCUUGACAAGCUUGCAUUAUAUCACAUGUAAGGAAGCCCAAAUUUUUGAAUCUAAGACCAGUUUUAGUUUUUAAUAGGAAAUAAUUACAUGGAACUUUAUUUCCAGAGAGAAUGUCCCUUCCAGCUACAGUGUUUUGCUUUGAUCUAAGUAUUAACUGGUAAUAAAAUAACCAUAUUUUGGAUCCUAAGCAUAUUGAUGCUUAGAGGAAUGUUAUGCUUUCAAUCAAAUUUUAACUUUAGAUUAUCCGAAGGUAUUCAUCCUUCUUUUGUCAGAAACCAAUUUGCUCUCUUACUCCUACAGCUACUCACAUGUGGUUUGGUACACUUUGUUAUUUUAUAGUGGAAUUUGCACUGUUGAGGUGGAAAACUUUUAGAUGGAAUGAGAUCAUGUUCCAGCCUGGCAAUUUGGGCUGUUUCUCAUACAGAUCCCCAGCCCAGCCCUUCUUUACACUUGUUGUGCACCACCACCAUCGCUCACCUCCGAGGGCGACCACCGCGUCAGGAUUUUGUUUUAAAUAUUCAGAUUUUAAAAUUUAUUUAUUUAAUUUUUUUAACCUGGAGAAUCAAUCAUUUGGACCCAUCCUGAACAAUUAACCUCCCCUUUAUAUUACAGCCCCAAGUGCAGUACUUCAUAAAGACAUGAAAAGGACAUCCCAGUCAGCAGGACCCGAGCCCAGGCUUGUCACAGAGUAUAAAGGGAGAGAGAAGGGGAGUUUUUAUCUCUUUGCCCCGCCAAUUCUUAAUAGUUCUAAGUUUCAGUGUGACAAUAAAACAGUUUUGAUAACAUAGCUCAUGGGUUUCUCUGCCACAUAAAGUUUUCUUAAUAAUAAAAAAGAAGAAACUUUAUCCCUGCUAAAUUAAAAUAGGGCAGAUGUUGGAUAUGGUUCAUAUUAGGCAGCCUUUCACCCCUUUGCCCCUGGCACUAAAGUUCUGACUUUUUCUUUCUACUAUGUCUGUUUCUAACUGAAAGGUAUUAUUCCUGCCCUGGCUCUCUUCUUCUAUUUAUUUUUUCAGUGUCUAAAAUUAAACCUAUUCAUUUAGUAAUAUACAUUCUAUUUCACAUUGCUAAACCUGGCCAGAGAGGGGAAACGCUUUCCAAAAAAGUGAUGCACCACUGACCUUAAAAGAAAACAUGAAGCAGGCAAAGCUGUUCUUAAAAGGUUUAUUUCUAGAGAAUUUUGUAGCUCUGUUGACAUUAUAGGGAUAAUGGCUGUAUUGCAAUGGGCUUUCAAGGCCCAAGAGGUUUAUGUUUUCUUCUGACCGUAAGUCUAAUAAAAUUUUAAAGGUGCACAAAGUCUCAUCACUUUAGAUAUUUAAAACUAGUUUGAAAAAUCUCUUGGGAGACAUAUAUUAUAGUGGAUAGCCCCACUGAGAAAGCAGGGGAUAGACAAAAAAAUACCCUGAGUCCAAACCCAAAUAAACCCCCCCAGUUUUUUUCAUGCUAGCUCUAUGAAAAUCCUGGCUAUUAAACUCCCAAGGAUAGUACAGCUAUUUUCUGCAGGGCUCUGCAGAUAGAAUUUAUUGUCCAUUUGGAAUGAUCAAGUUUAGGCUAAUAAAAGGCCCUCUGUAAGCAGAAAUGCCCAAGUUGAUGUUUGGCAGAGUUUUCAAUGGUGGAGUUUAUACAGGAUGGGGGCUCUGCACUAUUUGAAAUAACUCCUAUCCCAGCAGCUGAGGAUGAUCUGACACACAAGUAAACGUUAGCAGGCAGUGACUGAAGGUUAAUCAGCACUGCUCUCUGAGCUGGGUGCUUGAAAGCAGGAAAAAGUGAAAGCUGCUUUCUCUAGCCCUUCCCUAUGCUAAGGUGCUGCUAACUUUUAUGAUUUUUUCCCCCCUUCCUCUUUUACUAUCUGUCUUUGUGCCUGAGGGCCAGUGAAAGAACACUGCAGAUUCUAGAUUGCUUUCAGAGUUUCCCUUUGCUGAUGAUGGAUUACCAUGUCAAUUUAAACGGCAUAGGAUUAAUUUGUUUCAAUGAUUUCUCUUUAGGCUGAAUGCCAGUCUUUUUUUCUAUCUCUCUCCUUGCUCUUCAGAAAAAAAUAAUAACAAUAAUAAUAAUAAAUCCUUAAACCCCCCAAACACUUUUGAGAUCCCAUGUUAAAAAGACAAUAAUAGAAAUAGACAAGUUAGGUGUAAUGUUGCAACACAGUUGUAGGUUUGAGUGUUUUUAUCUCGUUCUGAGGGGCUGCAGCAUACAGUCAGUCACAUUAAAAUGAAAUUGGAUCCAACGUUUAUUCAAUAAAUACUUGUCUUGUAGGUAAUCCAGAACAGAGUGCUUUUGACACAUAAGGACUUAAUUUGUCUUGGAUAACAAGUUAUUAAUAUGGCACAUUUAAACUUGCCACCUACAAUAAGGUCAUUUAGAUCUAUAAUACGACUCACGAGAGAACUUCAUAAAGCCAGAAACAAAGUUUGAAACUGCCUCUGAGGCGCGGAGCAGACGCACGGCUCACGGUUUGCUCUUUUCAGAAGAAAGUUCAGAGCAAGUAGGAGCCACCCAAACCCAAAUGGUGUGCAUCUGCUCCUCUUUGAAAGGCAAACGUAAAUGGAGUAAGGAGGGGAGAGGGGAAAAAAAAAAAAAAAAGAGGAACCCAAACACACAUUUUUGAAUGAGUAAGCUUUAAAGCUGUGCUGCGUCUGCUCGCAAACUCAUCGCAGCUUUGAAAGUGAAAAAACAACAUUUGGUUCAGAGUGGAAAUUCGCCUGCAUUUGCACCCUACCUCUUCCAUGUGCUUCGCAAUUUACUCGCUUUUAAUAAUAAGUGAGGAAGUUGGAACAUAAUCCACCCAUAAAUGUUACUGCUGUAAUUUGACUGCUCUGUGUUUGUUCAUGCAUUAGUUGUCUAUGUAGAGCGAAGUGGGGAUGGAUGCUGGGGAUCCCCGUGCAGCACGAACAAACAGAGCUGUUUGGGAUUUCAACACCCAAACACCCUGCAGUUGUUUUCAGCUUUAGUUUCAGACCUGUCCUAACUCAGUGGUGCCUGCAAGAGGUGCAUCAGGAGGGGAAUAUUGUGGGAAUGCUGCUCGGGAUGUGUUUGGUGAGUGGCAAUUCGGUCUCCACGCUGUGUCCCUGAGCUUUGUUAUUCUGCUUUUCUGUACUGAGCUCCUGGUUGCUCUUGCCCUGGCAGAUUCUGUCUCUUUAAGUAACUAAAUCUCAUUUUUAAGCUAUUCCUGGGAAAAGGAUGUUACACAUGAGUAGAAAAAUGCAGGCAAGAAAGGCUAAUUGAAUGAAAAGGGAGAAUUAGGUUAAAAAUAGAGUACAAUCUAGUAUCACAUUUUCACUAGUGUAACCUGAAAUGAAGGUGUCUCCAAGUCCCCAGUGAUGCCAGAGUGUUUAGAUGUUGGGCACAGAUGGAGACACCUAUUGAAAUGUGUCUGAAGAAGAUUAAUAGGACUUGUCAGUGUUGGGAAAGCACUGCUUUGCUGUAAAUUUCUACUAGCACAAGAUGAAUUACCGAUGAAUGCUCAGUUAUCAACCCCAUCACUAUCAUUGGACACUAAAUCAAAUUGAGCAGUUAUCUACAAUCAGAAAAUUUCUUUUAAAAGUAGGCAUGCACCUUUAGGCUUAAACUCUUUAAUAAGACAAUAUCCUCGAUGGUAUGUGUGUGUUCACUAAAGGAUAUGAUUAAAAGUUUCUGGACAAAAAGCUUCUAUUCAGAAAUGAACUCCAAGUUCAGUGUGAAAUGAGGGUUGUCAAACAAUAGAAGAUACUCAGGAAAUGCUGGUUAUAUAGUACAGAGUUCUGAUGGGUUCUGAUCCAAAAUGGAUUUUCAUGAGUGUCAUUAGAUUUUGGACCCAUCCCUAUUUAUGAGAGGUUUUUCCAAUCUCUGCUCUCCCCUUAUUUAUGGUCAUGAUAAACCCACCCCUUCUCUCUACCUGAAAGACUGAGCAUCCAAAUCAUACAUUAAUGCAAAACAGCCAUCAUGAGUCAGGAUAUAUGUAUAAUAAUAUUACCACCCCCCAACAUAUUUAGGAAAUAACAACUUAAUAUAAUGAACUACGUGAUGAAAGAGUCAAUGAAUAAUAUUUUAGCUGAGAAUAUUUCUUUCUCUCCUUGAUGAAAGGGGAAACUGUCACAAGCAAAACUACCACACGCAUUUACCAGCCCACUCCCGAAGAAUAUUAUCUGCAUUUACAAUCUGAUGCUGCUGAAGACAAUGAUAUUAAAUAAGCUUUACAUACUUUUAGUUUCUAGGAUUUCUUUCCCUCUCACCCAGACACUGCGUACUAUAUCCAAGGAGAUUUAUCAUCAUGUGUUUUCCAAAGUCAAUUUUUCCCUUUUUUUAGAGACAAGGGCAGUCAUUUGUGUUUAGGGGAGGGAGACAGGUACAGAGCCUUUAUCUGAUCUGCGUCCCCAGCCACCACCACCUUCUUAAUCGACGGCAGAUCCCCACUCUGGAGGAUCUGGCCCUGUCUGGGUUACUUCUUAGCCAAGGAUUGUUUCCUUCCCUUCAUCUCCUCAUGUCUCACCUGUGAUGCAUGUUGCUUUUUGAGAAGGGAAUAAUACACUGUUUACCACACAGCCCAGUUUCAAAGCCUUUGUGCGUUUCUCAUCUCCAGCCAAAGCUUAUUAUUUACCACCCUAAAAAUUCACCAGGGUAAAGGAUAGCAGAAGUUGUUUUCUUCAUUUUUACACCCCAAUUUUCACACAGCAAAUGCCCUGCAUUAGGACCAGAUCCCACUCAGAUGGAAGUUAUUAACUUUCAGCAGAAUGGGGCUGAUUUCAGCCAGCCACAGCCUGUGCCCUUCGAGCACAGUCGCUUUGCAGCAUCCCUGUGUUUAUUUUUUUUCUUUGGAGGGCAUGAUUCUUUAAACAUAUUUAUUUUACACAGAGCAGCAGUAGAAUCCUAACUUUUUUUCCCCUCACAAACAUGUAAAGAGAAUAUUAAUAGGGAAUAUUAACAGAGGUGAGUGCAGCAUGAAGCUAGUUAGGUUGUAGUAGCUGAGAAAUAUGAACUAGUGAACAUAAUCCAUAAACUCCAUUUGGUUACUAUAAUACUCCAAUCUGUAUUUAUUACAACCCCACUCUGAUGCUUAUACAACUGCAAUUGCUAGAUUUAUACACUCUAAUGAUUUCACAAUAGGAAAAACCUGUGUCUUUAUCUUUCUUUUCCUGUCCAAAAUAACCCCUUCCACAUAUACUUCAGGCUUCUCCGGACCUUGUCUGGGUUUAAUCACAGGCUUUGGGACAAAAUGUGCAUUAUUAAGAAGUAUAAAUAUUUUCAGAAGCAAUCAAAGGGUUGAAAGAUUGAUUCGGCAUGUAGAUUGGAUUUAAUUCGAAGCAGCUUUGUUCUAAUGAGGACUACUGGGAUACAAAGACGGCAGCCGCUUAUGGCCACCAGUUGGGAACUCCGACUCGCUGCAGCAACCUGUCAAGAAUUCCAAGAAACUGCCAGGUAUUGAACAGAGAAGUGGUGGGGAGGACGCUGGUCUGUUGUUUGCAGCCUCCUUCUGAGACUGGCUUAGGAUUUCGUAAGUCUCUAUUUUACAAAAUGACAAUUCAGCUUCUUGCUGCCCACAGGGACAAAUCCUGCAGUCCCUCACUCGGGGAAAAUCCCUAUGGACUUUGUGGGUGGCUUUGCCUUGAGGGAAAGGUGGCAAAGCUUGGCUGAGCCUCAACUCCAGCCAGUUUGGGAGCUGUGUAGCAAUUUGUACUGCUCCCAGACCUGGCUGCUUUCACAGUGAUUUGUUCCAUUCAGUUUUGCUAUCUGCACUUCUAGGUGUGAUGGGAUCUUUUGGCAUAGGGAGGUGUUUAUCCCUAGGGAGGAUGACAGCUCUGUGAGGGCUUGGAAGCUCCUGUCCUUGUUGGGUGACCCAGCAGAACUGCUGGACCCGUCCUGUUUCCUGCCUGCAAUGCCCAACAAAACAUUCUUGGGAUGAUGCUGAACCAAAGGGCACCCUUGACUUCUUUCCCCUCAGACUUAGAAAACCCCAACAGUAAGAUGUGAGUGUGGCCCUGGGGGGUGUCACGUCACAGGUACCUGGCUUCCUAAACACUGAGCGUACAGUCGGAAUCACAGGAUAUACAGGAUCAAACAGGGACCAGUUUCUCUUUCCCCUUAGCCCCCCCUUGCCUACUUUUGUCCAUAAAAGCAAUAGAAAGAGAGAAAGCUUGAAUUUUCUGAACUGUUUCACCCAUCCACAGCUGGAAUUCCAAAGCGAAAUGAAAAUGCCUUUAAAAUCAACCCUACAUGGGAGCCUGAGAGAACAAGUUUUCCUUUGUUGUAGGGUAUAGUAUUAUUUGCUGUAGGUUUUUGAUAUACAUUCUAAAUUAGGCCUGCAAAGGAAUGCUUCAUCUUUAAUUCAUCACUCUCAGCUGAAAGAGAUUAGCAAUGUCUAGCACGCACCCUUCGUAUGGUGCUGACCUCAUCAAGUAUGGCCUGAAAUUAAUUAGCCUCAUUCAUUCCAAAUGGAAAAGGAUAAUGGAGCUGCAUUUUAGAGAUGACCAUCACAAAUUGUAUGCAGCAUAUUUAAAAACUUUCCCCCCUCGCUCCCCUUCCCAUUUAAAAAAAACCUAUGUAGAUUAAAAUUCUUUCCAGAACUUGCAAUAUGUCGGAGUUAUCGAGGCAUUAGGAGCAGAAACCAUUCCGUUUUUAUUUGUGGAACUGGGAGCCACAUUUUGUAUGUGUGGCUGUAAAAGCAGCAAGCCUGUCUUAAUGGCAGAACACCUGGAAUUAAUUUGAUAUUUCCAGGUGCUCUGGCAAACUGGGACAUCAAGCACUUGAUGUUUAAACAUUCUUCCACUGGCUUGCUUAAAUCAAUAUGAAAGUGGUGUCCCUUUGUCAUUCAUACAUGCAAAGUGCUAGCACAAACUCCAGCUUGGCUUCAGAGUCCUACAUCACUCAUAAUCUAAUUAGAAAUCAGAGCAGAGCUGAAGCAGCAUUCUUUGUGGAUUCUUGGGCAGCAAAUAGGGAUACUUGUCUUUUGUUUCCCUCCUCGAUUGCAUCGUUCACAAGCUUUCACACCACAUCUCUAAAGGUGGUUAGGUGCCUCAAGAUGUUGACAGGCAUGAAGGACAAGAUUAUUUAGGGUAAAAUUGCCUGCAGGGUACGUUUGCUGAAGCCUGUUAAUUCCUCCUGAGGUCAGCGGGUACCGGGUGCUGGGCAGCACAGCCUCUCCUGGCCGGGCACGGUGGUCGCGUGGGCUCCGUCUGCUUCCCAAGAGACAGGGACAGUAAUGAAGAACGUGGGAUUUCCCACAGGAAUUUGGAAGAUGCCCAUGUCUAAGACAAUGGUGAGGAUUGGGCCACAAUCCAGAUGCAGCCUUGAUUCCUUCGUCCAAGUAACCCUGAGCUGACCCACGGCUGCUGAUGGAUCGCAGCGACGUGGACCUUCCUCCCUCCUCGCUGCCCUGCAUCAGAUCACCAGGAGGACCUGAGAGUACUGGAUGAACCAUCACAAGACCCUGAUUGGAAAGCCUGGGGACCAAGCACUCAGGGAGGUGGCUGAUGCAGCUGUUCCCUGGCCCUGGGCUGUGGCUCAGCUCUUGGUCAUGGCACAAGCCACCAGAGGCCAGAGGUGGGGACUGUUUCUGUCUUGGCUACUCCUCAUCAGUGCUUUGAGCUGCAGGGAGCCCUGAGAAACAAGGAAACAUGAGUGCACCACCAGGGAUUUGCUCCUCUCUACACCUGAAGCACAGCACAAAGUUCCACCCUUUGCUUCUGCAGCAAGUUCUUGUUACCCAAUUCCUGCUGACAGCAGAGGAAGAGGCACAAGUCAGCUCAGAAAAUGAACAAUUGGAAGGAAACAGAUUAUCUGUUCUCUGAGGACAGUGGAAACCCAGUAGGAUGAGCUCAUCUGGAGAAAAUGCUGGGGUCAUGAGUUGGGCUUGGAAGAAGAAACUUCUAUGUGGAGAUGUGACUGCAGUGUCAAUACUGUGCCAGGUUCUCAGCCCAAGGGGUCAUGGAUGGUGACAACUCUCAUCUACUUUGGAGCUGUUUUAUCUUCUAAGAGAAAUCAAGAAGAUGAGUUGGGAGAGAUGCUUUACUUUCUUUGGUAGGACAAUCUAUAAAUUAACAUUUAUGUAAGUGAGACUCUCACCACAUUUUUAAUGUUGUAUCACAUUUUGAGGCUAGAAAAUGUAAUGUCUUGGAACUAGGUGAUCUUGAAAGUCUUUUUCAACCCAAGCUUUCCUAUGAUUCCACGAUCUUCAGAACAAGAUGAAUAUAGUGUUAAUAAUGCAACCUUAUCUGUCCUGCCCAUAGGUGCUCCUCAGCUCUCUCUUGAGGUGACACCGUUAAGCAAGAGGUGACAAACUGGUUCCUUUCUCAAGGAAGUGUCACCUAACUGCCCGGGGCCUGUUUUGGUGGGGGUUGCACCCUGAUUUUCAAGGAGAGAUGUGCUGCUGUGGCCCCUUCCCACCCUGGCAGGAGGAGCUGAAGCUGCUCAUUCAGUUGUGACAUUUCUCAGGCAGGAAGAAAGGCAGAAGGCAUCAGGCUGUAGGGAGGGAUCAGGGCAGCCACCUUUGGACACUGGCAAAGAAACCUCCAGAACUCAUCCAGAGGAGAUGAGCUCUCAGGGCUAGAGCAUGCUGGUAAAAAGGAUGGUGGUACCUUUCUAUCCACCCAACAAGAUUUGCUACUCCUAAAUGGGGAAGAAAAUACAUCCAACCCCAAAUGCUCUCCAGCUGAUAGAUCUGCUUCAGUGAAGAGUGCCCUGAGCAGUGAUGAGUGUUGUAGGAUACAUGCUGCAGCAUUAGGAAAGUCCAAACAGCCCAAGGAGCAGUGCAGAGCAUCUGUCAAGAAAAUAGCAUGUGAAAAGCUGCUGUAAUUCCUGUCCCCAGCAGCCUAACUGGAGGCACAGACUUCCCAAGGCUUGGAGGACUUGGAGAGCUCAGGAUCCUCAGUGAGAUUCCUCCCCAAGCCCUGCAGAUUUACCAGGUCAUCUCAGUCCAGGCCAAAGUUGCCGGGAAAGGUCCUUGGCUGUACUCCAAGUUCAGUGCUCUAUUGAUUGGAAGAGGUAUUUAUUGUAGGUCAGGGUCUUGAGCCAAGACAGCUGAAGCUGCAAGGACUAAAUUGUCUAUUCCUGACCCACAGAUAAAACAAAUGGCCAGUUUUAGCCUAAUCAUCACUUCUGCCUGAGGAAAGAGAAACUCUUUGAGGUAAGUUCCCUUGGAUAUAAUUCUUUCUUUCUAGGUUGUAGAAGGGCUGCAGCUCAUACAUAUCCUGAGUCAUAAUGUGGAUUUGCACCUUUCCUGUUAAAUAUAGCUGGCUUAUGUCCAAAGGAUCCCUUCUCUCCCUAAUGCUCACUCAUAUUGUUACAACUUCUACAUUAGUUGCAGGUGUGAAAUGCCAACUGAUCCACACUUCUGGUGCUGUCAGCAGGGGAGUAAUGUGUGUCAAAGGCCUGCUUCUCAGAGGGGAGGUCACCCGGAUCUCCAUUUGCACAUCUGCUUUGCUAAACACAAAACUCUGGAGGUUUGAAAAGCUCCAGUGUGCACAAAGUGGGAUGUGAUCACUGAGGGCUGUACAGAAGGAGCUGCUCGUGCCUGUCAUUUAGUAGGCAGGACACAGAACUUUCCCUCUGUACAAAAUUCUUCCUGCAUUGCAACAGGUAACGUUUUACUUGUAAGUUCUAUAUUAAUAAGGGGAAAAAAACUACACUUCUCUGCAUUCCACAAGCAGACAGGAUACCAAGAGAUUAAAAAAGAGCCUCACACAUUAAGCAGCUUCAGAAAGAUGCUAAUAUUCAGCAUGUUCCUGCUUGGAAUGUGCAGACAUGACGAUCAGGGAAGUGCCUGAUCAGAGCUCCUGGAGCCUCCGUUGCACAGAGGCAUCCUGGUCUGGUUCUGAGGGCUUCCAGAGGAGCUUUCAAAUGUUUCUAUUCCCUGCUGUUAGUGGAUUUUUUCCAUACCUUGGAAUAAGUCUUCUGAUGGUAAUGUGUUUGCAGUUGAUGCUGAGAUAAUAGUUCUUGCUCAGGGGACCUCUAAUACACAGUAUUUUAUGCUUUCUACAUUUUAUAUGAUAUCAAAAACUCCUCCUAUAUGUACAUAUAUGCCUAAUUCUUUCUUGAGUUCUGCUAGAAUCUAGAAUAUCCUCCAGUAUCUGCCAUAAGGAUGCUCACACAUAAUCUAUACAGAAUAUUUUUUGGUCUUAAUAUGUUUGGCCUUUAAAUGCCAUAUAUUUAUGACAUCAUGAUUCUGGUUACUCUGCACUUACAGGACAUUUUAAACACAUGCAUUCAUGGAUCAUUCACCAUUAUGCAUUGCAUUUUUUCCUCUCUCAGUUGACUAUUUCCAAAAUUUUUUGGGGGAUAAUGAAACUUAUAUUGACCUUUUUAUCCAAAAUCAGAAAAUAGGGAGUUGGUCAUCAGCUGUAUGCUGAUGUUCCAUGGUUAUAACAUCACAUUACAUGGAAUUUAGAUCUUGCAUCCUCACAGUAACUUAGCCAGAAUUAAAGAAAAGUGAUUUCUAAAGUCCAAAUUAUACUGGGGAGAGCCAUGAGCUGAACAAAUAGGUCAGAGCAUGUUUCAUGAACUGAAAUGCCAGCCCUGAGCCUCUGCUGCUCAUAAUGGACAUGUCCUUAAGGGAGCUGAUGAGAAUAAUUUCCACAAGAAUCAGAAGAAAAUAAUUUUCACAAGAAUCACUUUUAAUGCUGAGGAAGGAGAGCACUUGCGUUUUAAAGAAAAGUUUGAUUCUGGCAGAGGGUCUCUGUUGGUGAGUUAGAGGAGCUGUGCUGUAGAAGACAGAGUGGCUGCUUGGCUCUCAUGGAAGCCUCUGUUGAAUUCAGGCCUUUCCCCUGAAAUUUACACCAGAAAUUCAGAAAUUUUAUCUUUGAUCAGAACAGCUUCAUUGCCUUCCUGAGUAAUAGGAAUGACAUGGGUUUCCCUGGGCUGUAUGUUAUGGACAUGACAGAAAUGGAGAAAGGGAUACUGAUUUUCUUGGAAUGAAAUACAGAAAAUUUGAGCUUGGAAAACAUUUGAGUAUAAUGUGCUGAGAGUUUAAAGAAACAUUUUUAAAGAAACAUUUUUCUAGAGCAUGCCUGUUAGUUUUAUGUUCAUUUUAGCCAUGUAUAAUUAUGAGAAACACAGACAACUCAUAAGAUUUUUUAGUUUCUGUUGAGAAUUGCCUUUUCCAAGAUAAUUCUGUACACUAUUACUUCAGCCCACUGGGUAUCAUGUAGGGAAGGUGCAAGAUUAUGCACAUGAAUAUUUCUGUCUACCACUUAGGCGUGCUGAGACAAUAUCAACUUAUACUUUCUCCUGUCAUUGGUCCUUAUUCCAUAGAGGAUAUUCUUAAUUACCAGCAAGACAAUUUGGUAAUAUCAUGUAAAGUGUAACAGCAUAAUUUCUGUGAUGAUUUACACCUGCUAAGGAUCUGAAUACUGAAUUUUAAAACAUAGUUUAAGUUCAGAAGAAAGAGUAUUUUUUCUACAAGACACUAUUUCUAUUUUUAAUAGAAAUUAUCUCAUUUAUUUAAUUUAUUGGCACUGUUCUUCUGAAUGAAAUGGAGCUUUUGAACGUGAAGACACAAUUUUUACAUAUUUUCACUGCCCUGAAAAAUUUAGAGCACACUUCUGUACUGGAUUAAAUCAACUUGAGUCUAAAAGCCUAAACACUAUUUUUGACAACUGUGCAUGAGGGACGUGCCUGUACAGGGAUUCUAAAGAAUAAAAAACCUAAAAAUAUCUCAGUUGCAAAGAAAAUUCCCUGUAUUCCUUCUUACACUUCGUAAUAGUGGUUAUAUAUAUAUCUUUUUUAACCCUCACAGGUUUAUCUCUAAUUCUGUUGGAAAUGAUUGAAAUUAUUCCAUUGACUUUAGCAAACUCUGUUUCCUGCUGGAUUAAAGGCAAUAUUUGUGUAUCAGAUUUGCUGGUGAUGUCCCACUAAUGAAACAGGUAAUUUUAUAAACAUGUCAGGGAGGGUAAGUGCCCAAUAAAAAGAUGUCAGAUAGAGAUGCACAAAUUACACUCUAUUUGUAAUGGAAAUAAAACCAGGAAUUCUUACUGUGAGUCAUGAAUUUCUUUAUAAUUGCUUCCACAUUUGGGACAAUUUUUCCCUGGGUUGUCUACAGAAACCCUGCAAUUCUUGGGGCUUCUGAUGGCACUUAUGAUCACAACAACACAUCUCAUUUCUGAUAAAAAUUACUUACUUUGGGAAGGAUUGUUUUUUUCUCAAAUUGAUUUUCUGAGUCUUUAUCUACAACUAUUUUCUUAUCCUCCUCCUCAUUUUCUAUUUCUAAAACAAAAACAAGAGUCCUUAUCAAUUUAGAAGAGCAAUAAAACUAAAGAAAAUUCAGACAGGACUGUAAAGCACAGUCUAUUUUAAAGUUCCAACUCAAAUAAUAAGACUCUGGUUUGUGCUGCACCUCACUCAUGGACUCAGUUUUCCAUAGUGCAUUCAGUGUUGUAAUAAUGCAAAUCAAAUACAAUUUUAAUAACUCCUUCCAUUAAUGUUUUAAGACUGCAACACUUAUGAGCAUGAUUCUAAUUGCAUGAUUUUGCUACAGGCAAGUUUUAUAGAUCUGUCUGAUCUUUGGAUAUUUGCACCGUUUGGAUUAUUUUAAAUAAUUAAUUUUUGGAAGAAUUUCAGUCUCGGUAACAACAGUUGGGUUUGAUAGUGGUUGUCUUGUCAGUAAUUGUAUGUAUCUGCUUCCAUGCCAGGAUAAACUAGAUAAAUUUAGAACUCUUUGGGAGGAGGGGGCUGAGGUUUAUACCAUAGCAAAUGUUAUGGAGAAUGUUCUUAGGAGGGGAAUAUUUAUAGACUAUGUUAAUACCAGGAGCAAAAGAGGUUUCAAGUGAAUAAAAUUUUGUCAUGCAGCAAAAUUAGUUAAUUAAAUUGCAGGACUUUCUGCCAAAAGAAUACCAAAAACAUAAUCAACUUAAAAUACCAUUAAACAUUUUUUUUUAAUGCGACUUCUAUUGCCAGUCUCUAAUGCACUGAGUGAUAGGAACAAGGAAAAUAUCUCAUGAAAAGAAUUAGUUUGACUUCUGACAUUUUUCUGUAUAUCUGCUGGGAGUUUCUGCCACAGGGACCAUGGAAUUAUGGAAUCAUUAAGGUGGGAAAAGACCUCUGAGAUCUUCAGUUCAACCACUGACCCAACACUGCCAGGUCUAGCACUAAACCGUGUUCCUAAGCACCAUAUCCACACAUUUUUUUUAACACCUCCAGGCAGAAUGACUGCACUUCUUCUUUGGGUAACUUGUUCCAGUGCUUGACCACCCUCUCAGUGAUGAAAUUUUCCCUAAUAUCCAACAUAAACCUCCCUUGGUGCAACUUGAGUCUUCUUCUUCUUGUCCUGUGGCUUGUUACCUGGGGGAAGAGACCAGCCCAUACCUGGCUGCAUCCUCCUGCCAGGGAGCUGUAGAGAGUGAUAAGGUCCUCCCUGAGCCUCCUUUUCUCCAGGCUGAACACCCCAAGCUCCCUGAGCUGCUCCUCAGAGGAGAUGGUGAGGGGUUUGCAGGACCUCUGGUGCAACCCAGCUGCUAUUUUCAGGGAAGCAGUUGUUUGAAAGCUUGCUCCCCUCUCCAGAAACCUGUGUAAAACCUCAGGCUUUCCUGUUAUUGUGCAAAAUGGGAUGAGGAAAACGACAGGACAUGGGAAGAAGGUAAGUGGGGCAGCAAAAGUCACAAGGAAAGCAUUUGCUGAGUGGCUGGUGAGGGCCCUUACCUUGAUACUGUCCCCAGGGUUUCUCUCUAGUGGCAGGCACUUGGCUCUCCUCCUUGUACGUGCUGUUCUUCCCCUCGAGCAUCACUUGAGAUCUGCAGCAGAAGGUUCCCUCCUUCAAGAUGAACAGAAACACCAACACAGUCUUGCCCACUCUUGAUUCCUCAUUUCUUCUGUAGAGAAUUUGCUCCAAAUUUUGCUCAUGACAAAUGCCUACACAAGGCUUGGACAAACAAGCAUUAAAAGUAUCAGUGGGAAUUUUCUUUUGGGGGUUAAAGAAUAGCUAUCAACCAAAAGUUUUACCCUGAGAGGUGUUUUUUUGCCUGCAAAAAAAAUAUGUUCUUCAGUGAAUAUGGCUUUACCCACCCCAACAGUACCUGUUUUCCUGUCUGUUUGGUGAAUUCUGUGUCUGGCAUGACAGAAAAGAACGUCUCCUCUGAAACACCCCCAGUGCAUCUUCCUUGCAGGAAAAAAUUCUAACAGUCUUGCUACAGAGUUUACACACUGACAGAGAAACAGUGCAAAGUUUCUGCAAAACCCAUGAUAAAUUUUUACUUCAACAAAAGAACUUUUAAACCAUCCUGUUUGAGAGGAAUGGAAGGGGCCAUAGGCAUAUAGGCCUUAGAGAAAUGUAAAUUUUCCGUGAAUGGAAGUAUGGAUAAUUACAGCAAUAUUUGAGAAUUUCACUGCUGAAUCAACUCAGCAUGAACUUCUCAAUUACUCUUUCUCGGAAGUCAUCCCAAACAAGAACACCCUGAUAUACUGAAUUAAUGAUAAAAGUGGAUUGUGGCUAGGGUUUUUCAUGAGAACUUUGUCCUGGAAAAUGCCAAACAAGCAAAAAGGUUUGGAUUGAAUAAUGUAGUUUUCAUGAGGCUUCUCUGCUAGGAAAAAAAAGAUGUUAAAGACUUUUAAAAAUAAUUGCAAGUCCCAAUACAUAUUAUUCUAAGUGAAUAUAUAUUUACUUUGAAAUAUAUUUUGAUUUUAAUUUUUAAUUUAUAAGUGAAAAAAAAAAGAAAUAUUUUGAAAGUACUGAAGCAAAUGGCUCAGUUAGAUUUUUCACUUUUUAGCAGCUUACUGGUUAGCCACAGAAUUAGCUGAAAAAAAGUGAAAUCCCGAAAACUCCCAAAGGACAGAAGAAAGCACUUCCCUGUCAGCUAUAAAAUGAGUGAAAAUUAUAAUGACAUUUUCAUUUAGCACAGAGAUUUACUAAAACACCCACAUUUUCACAGAAGUUGCAAAGACUUGAACUCGGACACCCUUUUGGUUUCUUCCCAGGUGUGAUGUUUAAUGAUAAUGUUUUCACUAGACCUGGUCACCCACACUCUCAGAUAAGGAGCUGGAGGUUUGCCAGCCUCUACAGGGGUAAUAAUCUCUGUUUCAUAGGCUAGCACAAGAAGGAGGGCAAGAAGCACGAGCAGGAAGUUUCACCAUUUUAUUUCAAACUAAUGCAUUUAAACAGGAAAUUAUAAUUAAAUAAUUUAGAAGUGAGCUAUCCAAGGGUAAAGAGCCCCAGAUGCCAUGAAGGGUUAAGCUUUGUAGGGCAGAGAGGAAAGGCCUGUGUAGCUUCACUGUGCUAAUGGUGUGGGGAAAGAACUUCUGAGAUGCCUGCUCAAUUUGUCAGGAUUUUAUCUUCUGAACUAUUACCUCCAGCUUUCCCCAGAACACCCUUCCCAGCCCUUUUAUCUGCGAGCUAUCUUCAAGUUAACUGUCUGCCUAUUGCCUUGGCUGAACCACACUAAUAGUCAGCUAAUUACACAUGAACACUCUAAUUUGCUUUGUCUUUCUCAAAAAACUCACGCGUGUGCAGGCACGCACGCGAGUGCACUUCUGCCCGUGCCAUGAAACUGCACCAGCUGAAUUGGGGUAAAAUUUGUUGCAUUUGUUUCCUGCCCCCUCUGAUGCUUCCCCCCACGAGGCCACCACCAACGCUUGUCAUUCCUGAUUUGCAACAUCACCUGUUGCUCCAACACCAGGCUCCUGUAGAGCAGAAACUGGAGCAAAGAAGAGAAAUACGUGUUUGUCAUUGAACUGAGCUGAGAAGAAGGAAGAGGAGAAUGAUAAGAUCAUAGCCUGCAGCACUUUGUUUAUGAGAACAUCCUUCCAGUGAUAUAUGUCUGCACCAGGUGAAAGUAUUGUGUCACCCCUAACAUAUUUUAAAUGCCAGGGCUGUCAUGCAAGAAGACAAUGAUGAACAAGUUUAAACAGAAUAUGGUUUUGUAGCCAUGUACAGAGUUACCCUUUGAAGGUUUGCACUGGUAGUGCUUCUUAGCAAAAUGUUUCCAAGCUCUGUUGUAUUCCCCUACAGAACCCCCCUCACACAGAAUUUAAACUAAAUAGAGACAUAUCUAUUGCAGGCAAACUGAUGGGGUUGUACAUAAAGCAGUGCCUUUCCUCAGGCAGGAUUUUCAGGCCAUUUCACACGUCCUCCCUACCAUACUAUCCAAGUUUGUCAUAACUCCUUGGAUAGAAGCCCUGCUCCACUCAGCAAAUAGGCAAAGAAAGCUCUGUUUACACCAUGUUCUGAGGAGCAGGGACAGGCCCAAGUCGCUGCAUGGCAGAGGUUUACUCAGACUAGCCCUAGCAUGCUCCUGUGGACUGAGCUCCCGUUAGCUGCUGCAGCUCCCAGGCCACAUCACCUGCUUUAACUCCACCCUAAAGAAUUCCCUUUGCGUGCUCCAAAGCUGCCUGGCCUGGUGGGAUGGGGUAAGCAGGGUUAUUUGCAGGAUUCUCUUCAAAAGUGCACUCCUGGGCCAAAGUGAAAGGCUAAUGCAGAAGCACCUUUCCUCAGCAGGCAGAUAUGCCCAGAGCUAUCAUCACAUGGCAGUUUUCUCCCAGAUAUUUAUCUGGAGCUCAACUGCACGAACACCAUCCCCGCGUUCUAGCGCUGUUGCACAACCCCACUCCUUGGCUCAGACUGACAGCUCAAAUUGAGCCUUGGGAAAGCCAACAUCCAACACACAACACUGAGAAUGGGCAUGACCACAUCCACCUUGGAUCCAGGUGAAAGAGUUUUAGCUGUGUGUGUCAUGUGGAAAUGAAGGCAACCGUGACACCGCGGAGUCGUACGCCGUCGAGGAAGAGUAAGGUCAGAGCCAGUCCAUGACCCAUCCAUGACAGCAUUAAUAACUAUACAAAAGAGAGGAAAGGGAGCCUCUGACUGCCUGAAAAAACCUUCAAGGAGGUAGGAUUUCUUAAGUACUUAUUAAGGUCCUGUGUGGGCUUGUGUAACGCGUUCAGCAUCUGCCCCUCAGUUUUCCUUUCUGUAAAAUGGGCAUACCUUCUUUUCCACAAGGUUAUUAGGAGGAUUUUCCAAUUAAGGUUCAUCAUAAAUGAAAGUGUCUUGCAAACAGUAUUUAAUCACCUGGCCAAAAAAUGGUCUCCAAUAUCUUUGGGCAGAAUGUGAGUUUUUACAGGCACUAGUCACAGUGUCCAGAAGGCUACGGGAUCACAGGCUGCAUCUUUAAGACAGAGUUUACUUCUGGAUCAGUAAAUGUACUAGACAAAGCAGCCAUUAUUUAUGCAUUCCUGCAUACAUGGCAAGGUGAAAAUAAUAGAAUAAACAUCAUAUACUUCAUUAUGAUAUCGGUUUACACUUCCAGGGUACACAAAAAGAGGCCAUUUCAUCAAGCUAAUUGCCUGAAAGUAAAAGAGAGAGAACUUUAGCUAUUAGUCUAUUAUGGGGCUUUUUUCUUAAUCACAAAUAGGGGCCGUGUGUCCCCAGGGGGAUGUGUAUUCUAAUUUACAAUUGAACUACAGAUCAGAGCAAUCAAUCUUGUGCAGCACUUUUACAGUGUAAUUGCUGCAACAUAACAAAUAAAAAAAAAAAAAAGCAGCCUAAGUCGAGUUUCAGCUUGAGGUGGAGAUAUUUACCAGGCAUUGGUUCGGGGUGGGAGGGAGGCAGAGAGAGGAGAGAGGCGCCAAAGCCAUGAAUAUGCAAUGAGGGCUCAUUAGUGCCCCAGUGUUGCCAUGACGAAUGGCAUUAUCCCCAGACUGGUGCAGCCUAAACAUGAAUUUUAUAACGACCCAUUUAUCAUGACUUGUCAUGGGUUUCUUUACUGUACUUUCUACUGACUCUCACACCUUCCACCAUUAGCACCUCAGGAUCUCUUCCUUUUGUUCUUUUUAUCUCAUUCCAUCUUAGUUUUUUUGGUGACGAUGCUCAGGCGAUAAGGAGAGGAGCAUUGCAAACGCUGUUGUUCAAGAGUUCAGAGCUUCCCAAGCUGAAGACCCACCACCAAAACGUGUUGGUGGUCUCCAGUCCAGUUACUGGUGGAUAAGUGUCUUCGUUGUCACAGGUAUCUGCAGUCUUGUCAGUUGACUCAGCAGAAAGGUCUCGGGUUGACCGAGCAUCCAGACAACUAUCUUUCCACUCUGGCAGAUGUGAUGGAUGAAUCUGUUUUGUUGACCUAGGCCUGUCUCCUCCUCAGCCCACUCCAUCUAUGUGCACAGUGUAACAAUCCACCCUGCAUCUUCACGUUGAAAAAGGCGCAAAAUCAGAUAAAUAAACAAAAACUGCUUUCUCCCCAGUUUCACUUAAACGAAAAAAAAAAACCAAAACAUACUAGGUCUAAAACCCAACUGAUAGGGAAAGCAUUUACUCUCCAGGAGCAAGCAAUAUUAGUCAACUCUACAGGAAAACCAAAUUACUGUGAAGUAAUUAGUGUCUGGCUUUAGCUCAUUUUUGGUCGCUGCACGUUGUCUCUGUUUUACUGCUGUCCCUUUGGCCUACCCCAUCCCACAUUUAAUAUACCACUGCUUAUAAAGAAAUCCCUGUGGCUCAGAAGGCUGAAUUGCCACUGCUGGGCUAGGGCCUGCUCUCUAGUAUAUAGAGGCUUUCAUUUCCCAAGUUAUGAAUCUGACAUCUCAUGGCCAAAUCCACGCCAGUUUAUUUCUGAGAAGUCUGUCCUCAUUAUUUAGCCCAAAUAGUUUCACUGUCAGUCUGCCCUUUUUUGUUUUUUUUUUCUCCACUGUGAAGUGGCUGGAGUAUCUGAAAGUAUCAAGCCCCUCUUUGUUGGAUUUUACACUUUUGCUAUUACAAGAAUUUGUCUUUAGGGAUAGAAAAAUCAAGCAACUUAUUUCCAGCUAUUACUUGGAUAGGACUUCAUGUUCUUAAACAAGUUCUGAGCUCCCAUGAUCUCUGAAAACAACUCUCCCGAGGUCUUACAUCAGGGAAGUCCUACAGUACUUUCAUUACUCUACUGGACGUUUGAAAAUAUUAAAAGGCAUCUAACAUCCCUGGCCAGCAAUUUAUAGACUCAAAGUCUGGCGCUGCAGCCCUCAAAACCUCUAUUUCUUCCCCAAAAUCUGCACUUUGCUAUUAUUGUUGCCAAGACAGGCACGUGUUUCACCAGGAGUAGUUUGUCAAAGGAACAGUCCAUUAUCCAAAGAUUCAUGACAGGUUCCCACUCUGGUACACGAUGGAAGAGAAGCUGGAUGUCAGAGAGGGAGGAGAAAGGAAAGCUUCCUCUAAGAAAGGUGCAUUUGGGAAAUGACACACCUUGAUUAAUCAGGGCAUUGCUGAUUAGGCCAGCAAAUGCUUGCCUUUUUUUUUUUUUUUUCUUUUUAAACCCAUCUGUGCUCCUUUGGAGAAUAUAGGUAUAUAAAAAUAUAUGUAUGUGCAGUUUUUAAAAGCCCCUGACCGCAUCUGUGACCUAUGAUGGAGAACUCCAGCUCCCACUACAAUACAAACAAUGUUCUGUUAAUUAUCAGGAGACAAAAGAAUGAUAGAAAUUACUCUUAAAGAAGCAAACCCGAAAUGACAUCUAAUAUUGGAGAAAAUGUCCACUGUCUUCACAAGGACUCAGGACACAGCAAAUAUUAUCAUUAUUCCUGAGAAUAAAUGUUUGCCCUAUGACCCAGGUGAUCUGAUCACCUGUUGAGUGGAGAGAAUGGAGAGUUGUCACAAACAAUGUGGUUUAAUUAAAUUAUUUUAAUUUAGCUCCUAUUAGGAGUACUUAAACUGACUGUACUCAGUCUAUAAGAUCUGACUGAUACAUCUGAUCCAUUAUCUGCAGUUUAUGGGAUGGAAUAAGCAGAUUCCUGUUUGAGUUGGUAGCAGGAAGUCACAGGUCCUAUCUACGGAGGUUAUUCCAUUAUUUUAUACCAAUACCUGCAGAUCCCUUUGAGAAAUAAGCUCAUCUUUAUUCCACUCACCUCAAGAAGCAGAAAGACAUGGAAACAAGGAAUACUAUGGGCCAGCCAAUGCAGAUGACACCGAGCUCUGGGUCACUUUAGCACCCAGGAAUCACAGAAACACAUCAGAGUUUUGUAGGUUGAGAUCAACAACCAUAUGGAGGACAGCUGCCCAGGAAAGGAAAACAUUCACUAUUCCUCAGUCAACCCACAAAUGGCAAUCAUUAAAAUAAAAUAAUUGCAAUCUUUAAAAUAUUAAGUCCUUGGUUCUAAACUGACAGGACUCUAAUUAUAGGAAACACAAAAAUUUCAGGAGAAAAAGACUACUUUCAUUGUCAUAAGAAUCCAGCUUCCAAUAAAGUAUCAGAUUUGAGAUUGUUUCAGAGAGAAAUUAAGGAAUAUAAGCAAUACUUUGAGGUGGAAGAAAAAUCUAUAUGGUAGGACCAAGUAUUUAUCCUGAAUUUAUGGUAAUUUUUGUGACUGAGUGCUGUAGGAUCAGAAACAGGCUAUCAGCAGACUCACAUGAAAAUUCUGCAUUAAAUACAUAUAUUUGAAUGUAAUAAAAUUCUGACCAUAUAAUAAAAAUCUGCAAAAUUAUAUAUGCAGUAGUCUUUUACAUUUACAGAUAGAAUUAAUAAACUUAAGAUAAAAAAAAAAAAAACUCUGAGAAAAACUUCAGGUGUGAUUGCUAUUCAAUGCUUUUCAAUGUCCUUUCAACUGACAUGUAUACAAGAAAAUUUAAAAAACCAUAAACCCAGGCACUAUUUCUCUGUGUAAAGUGAUGCUCUUUUAAAGACAUGAUAAAAUUCUAAGCCUGAACACAAAACUCCUUCUGACUGAAUAUUGAAGUGUUUGAACACCCAGGCAGUGACAGGGACAUAUCCUUAUAUGCUUGUAAGGGCUCCUGAUUGUGCUAAAUAAACCUGACCAGCCCUUUUUUGCUAUUUUUGCAGAGAAAUUCAUCCCUCCCUUUUUAGUUCUGUUUCAAAUAUGAGAUAUUUUUUUUUCUCUGUUCAAAGCUUGGCUUUAGUCAUCCUAAUGAACUAAUGAUCUUUUCCAUUGGAUGUACUUCAGCUUUGUCUUUAAGGCUCCUCACCUUUCUCCAAAUGGAGCCAAUGGCUUGCUGCUCCCCACUUUUAAACAAACAAACACAAAGUCCUCCUUCCCCCUUCCUCCCCACUUUCUUUAAUGACAUCUUCAGUCAUUAAUGAGUUAAUAAAAAUCUCAAAGUCAUCUGGGAAUAGAUAAGGGGGAAGAAAGAAGAGUAUUGUACACAUAAUGACAGGCUCCCUGCUGGCCCUAAGAUGUCAUGGGUCAGCCAUGUCAAGAAUGUGUGUGCCCAAUCAUCUGCUGAUUUUUAUCAGCAAGGCCUGAAGCAGAAUCUGACACGGCCAGUUUGGGAGUUACGAUGAAUAAACAAUGACUUCUUGGAUUGUUGGCGGCUGUGUGAUAGAGUGAGAGGGUUUAUAUAUACUAAAACAUGAUGACAUUAGCAAUCAAUAUACCAAUUACUGGACAAGUUAUUGGACGAAGAAUGCACAUGUCCUGAGCUUUGUGCACUUUGAACAUGCUACCAGCAAAGGAGACCACAGAAAUAAUGUUAAUUAACCCAUUCCAAGCUCGAUAUGCUAAUACCUGAUGAUUCCUUGAAGUUUCUGAGAACAUGAGGUAGGUAAAAACCUUGGUCUGAUAUAGCACAUUAAACAUUUGAAAUAUCAGACACAAGCCUGACAAAUUUAUUUUUCAUCAGGACUUGAGGAAGAAAGGAAUACAUUUUUUCAAGUGAGCAGCUGAGAUUCUAACAGACUUAAAUUGUUCUCUAUAAAAUUUCACCUAAACACCAUCAGCAUACUACACAAAUUUCAUCACUGAGAAGUUAGAACAUGUCUCCUAUAGCUUGGUUAAGGAAAUAUCCCAACAACUCCCACCUGCCUAUUCUUAAACAGAGAAAGGAAGAUAAAACUAACAUGCUUUUUUAUUUCUGUGUGACUGCAAAUGCAUUUCUGCAUCUGAUCAGUCUCUUACAUUCUUUAGUGUGCUCAAAAUAUUCAGUGUUUAUGAGUUUGUCUUCUCUUAUUCUGGAAGUGAUUGUGAAGAUAAAAUGACAGUAUUUUAAUUGAAGCCAGAAUAGAAUGGGACUAUAUGAAUCACCUAAUUCCAAGUACAAUACAGAAGGAAACUAAAGUGGAGAUCAACGUUGCAGACAGAUCUAGAUUGGAGUUAAAUGGUGUCAGCUCUCCAUUAAGAUGGACAAGUCCAUCAUCUAAUGGAAAGCUCAUGGGUUUUGCCCUGAGAUGCAUUGUUAAAAUGAUGUGGUAAAGACAGAUUUUAUGAUGGUUCUCCAUCCUUUUCUGUGUAGUCUCUGAAUGACAAUUUUACUGCCAUCUGGGAAGCAGCAAUGCCGUGGAACCUUUGACUUUUGCUCAGGUGGGAGCAAACAAGGCAGGGUGUAAAUAUAAAAUUUAACUCUGACUGCCAGGGCAUCAACCAAUGCAGUAGAAAUUGGGAGUAAGAAGGGAAGAGAAGAGUUCAGCCACCAGAGUGGCUCUGUGUACAUGCUGUGUGUCAGGGGCUGAGUAAAAUCUGCAGAUACAUCACUUUUGUGAUCUUACUCUAAAUUACAAUCAAAUCUGCUCCUGCUCCUCAGAGCACUAAGCACUUCUCAGAGUUGUGUUGGAUGGUCAUGGCAAAGGGACCAGCCUCAGACAAAGGGGGAAAAACAGAUGAGGCUCCAUCUGGUUUUAACUGCAGUGGCUAUGAAGUGUUCAGCUGGAUCCUUCCAAAUGGCUCUUCCUUUCCCAUUGAGUUAGCUCUUGAAAAGUUUAAAAGUGAAUUUGUCCAGCAUGUGUGAUAUGAAUAACAAAAUGCUUUUAAAUGUAAAUGUUUCAUAAAAUAGCAGCAUUACCAUACAUUGCAGUGAAUACAGUUAAAAAAUCCAACUCAAUAAUCCCUCCUCUGUAAUUUACAAUUAACUUUUUGCCUCAAGGUAACAGCUACAUUCACAAAAAUAAUGGUAAUAGAUUGACCUUGUUAUGAAUGGAUAACAAGCUGGAAACAAUAUAGUUUGUCACAGAGCAUUAACUGUUACUGUUGAAAUUGUAAAUAAUGUGUAUAGAACUUACAAUGUAAAUGGCUCCCCUUAAAAAUAUUAAUUAUGUCAAUUAAACACUUGAUGCAUAAUGGAUUAUUCUGAAGCCUAUUUAAGUCCAUGUCAGACUGAGUACACCAUUUUCUAAGAUCCCAUUCCCAGGCUACUGGAAAAAUCCAUGGCUGUGCUUUGACUGCUCAAGGUGGACAAAGGAAUAUUGCCUUAAAUUAAAGAUAUAUGGCUGCCUCUUUUGUUUACAUUUCUCACUGCUUUUUCUCAUCAGAAGAUGAGACUGUUUACAGACACAAGGCUCUUCUGAAGUGUUUUCAGGCUACUUUAGAAACUGUUGAAAAGCAGCUCUCAUCCAGCAGUGCUGGCCAAUCCCUGGAGGAAUUCCGUGGGCUACAGAGAACUCUGUUGGCUUUUGUGCCACUUUGGAAUCAGUGGAUAGAGAAGGAUAGAUCAGGUCUUACACCUGGCUGGUUUCUCUCACCAGAGUGAUCUCACUCAGCAUUCUCAAGCCAGUGAAAGCUGAGGGUGAUGCUGUUCAAAUCUCCUCCCUGUGUGUCAUUUGGAGCCCGGGCUGUGUUCCUCCAGGAGAAGGAGGUUGCUACCACAUGGCUUUAUGGAGUGACCCCAAGCUGAUAUAUAACACAUGGCUUAGAAAAAAUUCAUUUUCUCCUAGUGUCUGAUGACCACCAAUUCAUGAACAAGACCCUGAAAUGUACUUUUUGUGCUUCCCAGCCACAGCUCCUCAGCUGUAGCUCAAGACUGGACUUAACGGCACAAUGCUUAAGUGUUCUGGCCAAUUACCAUGUUGCAUUAUAAAAGAAGGAUUCCCACUAGAUUAUCCACAUAGAGAAAGUGAUACUAAAACGACAAGCCACCAAGAGGUCAAAUAACCAGUUGCCAGAAGUUAAAAUAACUAGACUGUGGAGCAGCAAUAUCUGAGGAGCUGGCAUGUGUCCCAGGACUGGUUGUCAUACAAAUGAAAGAAAAGACAGCUGGAAUCUUUUUGGAUUGACUGUUAUUUUCUGUGAAUAUAAUGUAAAUCUACCACUCUGGUUUUUCAACCAGACGCCUGAACUGGGAGUUUAGAAACUGAUUCAGUAAAAUAUAAGGUCUCUUUAUAUCUCAUUUUUCCAUGUGUGAGUUUCAUCUACUUUGUUUAGCUUUAUCCUUUGGGAUCAAAGACUGUUCAGACUGUCUGAGCACCAAGAGUCUGAUUACAGUUUGGGCUCUCCAGUAAUCCAAGCAAAUACAUUACAUCCUCUCUUGCCAAAAGGUGUGUUCCCCCAUCUGGGCAGCCACAAAGUCUCCACAAAUGUCUAAAUGAGCAGGCACCUCUACCCACCAUGGAGCCAAAAUCCCAGCCAGGCUGGGUAGGCUCUCCACCCAAUGAUUUUCCCUGGGCAGGUCUUGUUUCACCAUCAGUUAAAGUGUAGCUGUUUGCUAUACAUUCGGUGCCAUCUCUUUAAAGAUGUAUAUCUGAGUGGGCAAGAAAGUUAGGGAUUAGCAAUGGGCAGAGGUCAAGUCUGUCAAGACUUUAAGCAUGUUGUUGGUUGUAAAAAAGAUUACGUUACUGGCAGCCCUUUGCCAGAUCAGUACUUCGAUGCCAAAUGUUAAUCCUUGCUGGGGACAAGAUGGCUUGUAAAUGUUAUGGGAGAACACAGCUUUUUCCUGUAGAAAACAGGCAUUUAUGGUUAAAACAUGGAUUGUUUUCUCAUGCUUGUGUUUGCAUUUCAUGCCAAUUCACUCUUGCUUGCUAUGAGCUUCGCUUCAGUACUUACAUUUAAUCACUUAAGGUCUUUAUUUGUAUAGUUGAGGACAGAAUGGUUGAGUUCUUGAAGCACUGGGGAGUAAAAGAGCCAGAGCUCAGCCUCAAGUUUUGCCAAAGGACUUGCACUGUGAAACUGGGCAAAAGCCCACUGAACUUUACUUUUCUCAUCUGUACAAUGGAGCUCCAUUUAAAAAGGAUCCUGUAAAAUUU